rnacentral:rRNA from 1 species
UACGUAGGGUGCGAGCGUUAUUCGGAAUUACUGGGCGUAAAGCGUGCGCAGGCGGUUCGCUAAGUCCGAUGUGAAAUCCCCGGGCUUAACCUGGGAACUGCAUUGGUGACUGGCGGGCUAGAGUAUGGCAGAGGGGGGUAGAAUUCCACGUGUAGCAGUGAAAUGCGUAGAGAUGUGGAGGAAUACCGAUGGCGAAGGCAGCCCCCUGGGCCAAUACUGACGCUCAUGCACGAAAGCGUGGGGGGCAAACAGG